UGAGAGUUUGAUCCUGGCUCAGGAUGAACGCUGGCGGCGUGCCUUAAGCAUGCAAGUCGAAUGGUCGCAAGACAAUGGCAGACGGGUGAGUAAUGUAUAGGAAUCUACCCUUCAAUGGACCAUAGCCUAUCGAAAGAUGGGGUAAUAGUCCAUAGCCCCAAGGUUUCACCUUGGGAAAUUCGAAAUCCGAAAAUCCAAAUCCGAAACAAAUUAUAAUUUUAAAAAUCCAAAUGACCAAAAGUUUUUUGAUUUUUAUUAUUUAGAUUUUUUGAAAAUUGUUUCGAGUUUCGAUAUUUGAUAUUCGAAUUUUCUAGAGUGAAGCUUUGGGUAAAGAUCUUAACUGAUCGUUGAAGGAGGAGCCUAUAUCCUAUCAGCUAGUUGGCGGGGUAAAAGCCCACCAAGGCGAUGACGGGUAGCUGGACUGAGAGGUCGGUCAGCCACAACUGCACUGAGACACGGGCAGUACACCUACGGGUGGCAGCAACUAGGAAUAUUGCGCAAUGGACGAAAGUCUGACGCAGCGACGCCGCGUGGAGGAUGAAGGCCUUAGGGUUGUAAACUCCUUUUGAGUCGCCAUUCACGGCGACUAGAAUAAGCCCUUACUAACUACGUGGCCCGUAAAAAACGGGUUUGGCGCGUAGUAUAAAUUUCACUAUAUGCUGGGAACUUUUGUAAAAGCUUACCUACCGAAAGGUAAAAAUGGUAAGCCAAACCCUAAAAAACUAGCGAUUGGUAUGGGGGUUGCGAAACAAUCAGCAGGCAACCUCGAUUUUUCGAGGAAGUCCUCAGAGACUAUACGUGGAACAGGUUUAAAACCUGAAGAUAUAGUCCAAUGUUCGGAACGUAUAAUUUUUGUACGGGCCGGGCCAGCAGUCGCGGUAAUACGUAGGGGGCAAGCGUUAUCCGGAUUUAUUGGGCGUAAAGUGUGCGUAGGCUCCUUAAAAAGUCGCGUCUCAAAUGCUCAGGCUUAACCUGAGAAGCGGAUGCGAUACUAUUAGGGUUGAGGAUUGACAGGGAUGCUGGAACAGCUAGAGUAGCAGUGAAAUGCGUUGAUAUUAGCUGGAACACCAAAGGCGAAGGCAAGCAUCUAGGUUUUUCCCUGACGCUGAGGCACGAAAGCUAAGGUAGCGAAACAGAUUAGAUACCUGUGUAGUCUUAGCUGUAAACAAUGUUCGCUAGCUCUUCCCCUCUUUUCUUUGUUUGCAAAUUUUUAAUGUUUAAAGAUUUGCCGGAAAAGAGGGGAGGGGCGUAAGUUAACACGUUAAGCGAACCGCCUGGGGAGUACGGCCGCAAGGCUAAAACUCAAAGGAAUUGACGGGGACCCGCACAAUCUGUGGAGCGUGUGGUUCAAUUCGAGACAAAACGAAAAACCUCACCAGGGUUUGACAUAUUACCGUUUAUUUCUCUGGAAACAGAGAGAAAUCCGCAAGGAUGGUAUUACAGGUGCUGCAUGGCUGUCGUCAGCUCGUGCCGUGAGGUGUUCCCUUAAGUGGGGAAACGAGCGCAACCCCCAUUCAAUGUUAAAUAUUCAUUGGAGACAGCCCCCUCUUUCUGGGCUUUAUCUAAAAAUUUUAUGUAGAGCGUUGAUUGUUGAAAUCAAUAAACGUGAAAUUAAGAUAGAACUUAGAAAGAGGGGGAGGAAGGAGGGGAAGACGUCAAGUCAGCACGGCCCUUAUACCCUGGGCUACACACACACUACAAUGGCGAAAAACAAUGAGUUGCAAGCCGGUAACGGCAAGCUAAUCUCUGAAAUUUCGUCUCAGUUCAGAUUGGGGGCUGAAACCCGCCCCCAUGAAGUUGGAAUAGAUAGUAAUCGCGAAUCAGCAUGUCGCGGUGAAUACGUUCUCGGGUCUUGUACAAAAAUAAAUUGCGCCUUUCAGCCAAUUUUUCCAGAAGGUGAAAAUCCUUUCAGAUGUAAGUAAGAUGUCUGAAGCGAAAUAGCAUCCUCUUUUAGCAAUAAAGGAGAGAGAAGGGCUAAAGUAACAGUUAUUAGCUUGAAGCCAAGACGGUCCCGCACUUUUGCAACCAUUCGUACAAAUUGGGAAGCAAAUUACUAAAAAUAAGUGCGGGAUAAUUGGGCUCAAGAUAAUAACAAAUGGAAUUUUUGGUUACAAAGGGAGAUCCAAUAUUGACUUUCAGAAAUUUUUAACAAAUAAUGGAAGUAGGUGUCAGUGUGAACUAACACCGAGUAAAUAUUGGAAGUCUGCAGAGGUCAUAGUACUACGUUCAUGCAAACUGAACGUAGGAAGGACCGAAGCUAUCAGAAUAUGGGUGCUUAUAAAAUUUUAAGUCCCUGGUAUGUUGUUGGUUUUACCGACGGGGAAGGAUGUUUUGCAAUUCUUAUAAAUAAGCAUAAAACGAAGAAGUUUAAAUUGGAUGCCAAUCUUUGUUUUGAGAUAGAACUUCGCGCAGAUGACAAGCCGAUUUUGGAAUUAAUCCAAAAAAGACUCAACUGCGGAAGAAUCGUAGAGCUUAAUUAUGAGAGAUACGGAUGGAAACCUCAUGUAAAGUUUGUCGUCAGAAAGCAAAGCGAUAUUCUUUUCAAGGUUAUACCAUUUUUUAAACAAUUUCCACUCAUUGGCAAAAAAGGAAAAGAUUUUAAACUUUUUUGCAAGGCUUCGGAAAUUUUUAGAAAAAGACAGCAUCUAACGAAAAAAGGUAUAAAUCAGCUUAAGAAAAUCAGGGAAUUUAUGAAUGAACGAAGACCCAUGUUUAAAUAGCCGUCCGCGAGGGUACGGGAAAACCGUGCGCCCCGUGGGGAGAGAUAGUUUAGAUUGUUAAAUCAAGCUAAUCUCAGAACACCGCCCGUCAAGGCAGCAAAGUCGGGAGUGGCCGAAUCCCCUCUUUUUGGGCUUUAUAGCUGUAUAAUAAAGUUGUAUGCAUUACGUUUAUGUUCUAAAAAGUCAGAAAACAAAGAAACUCUAUAUUGGAUAUACAUCAAACUUGAAAAUUAGAUUUUUAGAACAUAAUUCUGGAACAGAGAAAUAUACCAAACAUGGGUUGCCAUGGAGACUGGUUUAUUAUGAAGCUUUUCUUUCAAAACUUGAUGCAAGCAAACGAGAAAAGCAGAUAAAAUCUUUUAAAAGCGCAUACGGAUUUCUAAAAAGAAGAAUUAAAAACAGCAUAGAAUAAUAGAACCUAAAAAGAGGGGAGAGGCCAAAUUCGGCGAUGAAGCUUAAGUCGUAUAAAUGUUGCGACCUACACUGGUAACAAUGUAGAGAACCUCAACUAUAUCGGUGGACUCCUACUUGAAUUUAGAUUUACUUUUAAGUAAUCUGGGUUCAAGGGACAAUACCGAGGGAAGUCCCGAUUUUAUCGGGACCCCGUAGAGACUACACGUUGACGCCAAGAAUCGAAACUGGAAGUUAGAUGCUCGAAGCUAGGUAAGGAUACUUGAAACUUGAUGCUAGAUAAGCUACAUUUAAAGUAGUGAUUCAAAGUUUUCGAGAUCUUCAAGUUUAUCAAGAAUCGUAUGAAUUGGCAAUAAUAGUCAAUAAAGCGGUUUUUAAAUUGCCACAAUACGAGAAAUUAGAUUUGGUUUCUCAAUUAAGAAGAGCUUCGAAGUCAAUUCCAGCAAAUAUAGCUGAAGGAUAUGCAAAGCGUGUUUCAAUAAAAGAGUUUAUGAAACAUUUAACAAUUGCAAUAGGUUCAGCGAAUGAAAUAGAAGUGCAUAUUAGUUUGGCUAGAGAUUUAGGUUUCUGGUCAAAAGAUUUCGCAGAUGAUUUGAUUAACAGAUAUCAAAUCAUUGGAAGGAAGUUAAAUAAGUUAAUCCAAAAUUGGAAAACUUUCUAGCUUCCAGAAUCAAGAUUCUUUUACAAGCUUCCAUUUUCAAGUUUCUAGUUUCUUGGAUGAAGAUAUAGUCCAUGCCUUUAGUAAUAAAAGGAUAAACAUGAACAAGGUAUCCCUAGCCGAAGCUGGGGAUGGAUCACCUCCUU
rnacentral:rRNA from 1 species